GAUGAACGCUGGCGGCGUGCAUAACACAUUCAAGUCGAACGGUGAUGAGGACUUCGGUCCUCUGAUCAGUGGCGGACGGGUGAGUAACGCGUGAGCAACCUGCCUCAUACCCCGGGAUAACAGUUGGAAACGGCUGCUAAUACCGCAUAAGCGCACAGUGCUGCAUGGCACGGUGUGAAAAGAUUUAUCGGCAUACGAUGGACCCGCGUCUGAUUAGCUAGUUGGUGAGGUAACGGCCCACCAAGGCGACGAUCAGUAGCCGGCCUGAGAGGGUGAACGGCCACAUUGGGACUGAGACACGGCCCAAAACUCCUACGGGAGGCAGCAGUGGGGAAUAUUGGGCAAUGGGCGUAAGCCUGAACCAGCCAAGUAGCGUGAAGGAUGACUGCCCUACGGGUUGUAAACUUCUUCUAUACGGGAAUAACAUCACCUACGUGUAGGUGCCUGCAUGUACCGUAUGAAUAAGCAUCGGCUAACUCCGUG
rnacentral:rRNA from 1 species